UCACGAUAUUCAAGGUUGUCACGACGGCCAUGUAUGACCACAAGGAUUUUAUCGGACUAAAAAAGAGUACUGAAAACUGAUGCUGUGUCAACUUUUUCUUUCUUUUUGUGCAAGCCAUCUUGUAAGAAGGAGGAAUACAAAUUUUAUGCCUCGAGCUGCUGAAGCAUAGCAAAGGACAAAGUGUGCUAACUCAAUGAAGGCUUGCAUCCAUGAAUAUUUUUGAGAACCAGUCAAUUCAAGUAAAUGUUUUUCUUUUGGACAUUAAAGUAUCACACUAGAGUUUCCUGCUGCAUUUUCAGAUGGAUGAACAUUUAUAAAUGGAGAAAUGUUCCAAUUCUUACACCUUCAUUGGAUACAUACCUGGUAUAAAAUUUUCCCAUUAGUUAGAACUAUCUAACAACUCUUGUAAAUGAUUAUUACACCAUCAAUUCUUAAUGACAUUUUAAAAAUAAUAGCAAAUAGCUUUUCUUUUCUGUGAUGGAAAUAUACCUCCUGGGGAACCCGCCUUGCUUCUGCAAAAAGGGGUAAUGCGCUUAUUGCAUCAUACCUCCAAAGUGGCAUCCCCACUAGAGUGCUUUUGAUCUUAGGUCAUGUUCAGAAGCUGUUUUAUGAUGCUCCAGUCUGGAUGCCACUUUAAGGUAGUGUGGAAAUUGAUGCAGAACUUUAUCUUUCUUAAAAAACCUUUCAUACUCAAACGAGAAGGAUUUGCAUGCAACAUAUAUUUCUAGGUUAUCACAGUUGAAGUGGCUAACAUCCCAUCAGAUUCAUUGGCAUAGCGAAAAAUUUUGCACACAA